AAAAUUGUAUAAUUUAAAAAAUCAGAGUAGUAUUAGUUAAGGUCUUGAAACUUAAAAAAUUUGGCGGUAUUUUAGUCUAUUUAGAGGAACCUGUAGUAUAAUCGAUAAUCCACGAUGGACCUCACUUAAUUUUGUUUUUCAGUUUGUAUACCGCUGUUAUUUGAAAAUUUUAUAAGAAAAAUAAUUUUCAUAAUUUUAUAUAAAAAAGUAAAUCAGGUCAAGGUGCAGCUUAUAAUUAAGUAUUUAUGGGUUACAAUAAAAUUAUUUAAAUGGAUAAGAGUAUGAAAAUUAUUUUUUGAAAGUGGAUUUAAUAGUAAAUUUUUAAAGAUAAAAAAAUUGAUU
rnacentral:rRNA from 1 species